AAAAGAUAGGAUAUGUCAGGGUUGGGAGGGACCUUAGAACAUAGAACUUGGAAUACAGAGGUAGAAGACACUCAAGAAUGGCUCAGAACCAAGGAGGUCCUUAUAGGAGGCAGAGGGCCAGAGCUGGAAGAUCGGGAGCCUUCUGUAAUACAUAUUGAAGCGCUUCUUAUCUUCCCUACCAAGCUGUAUGCUUUUGUACAAUUUCCCGAUUCAUACAGUGGGGAACUCAAGACAUAUGUUCUGAAAGACGUCUGGGCUCUAAAUCCUUUUUGCCACAACUUUGCCCCACGACCUGUGCCAAGUCCUUUCCCCAAUCUAGGCCUCAGCUCACAUUUAUUGGGCGCUUUUGCUUAAGGCACAUUGCCAGGAGACGGUGACAUAAAGCCGAAAAAUGAAAUAGUCCCUGCUUGGUUUUUCCUGGAGUGCUUACACGGCUGAGUCACUAAUAGCAGAGGGACGCGAAGGUGGCCUGAGGAAGGAGGUCCUGGACUCCCAGUAGGCAGAGGCCGGCUUUUCCCAGCGGGGUAGGAGAACACCCCGGCCUCGGGGAGGCAAGCAUGGGCCGGAGGGAGGAGUGCCAUCUUGCUAGGGGGAAGUCUGGGGCUCAAACCCACCUCGGGCAUCUACUACCUCUUUGAUCUUGGGCAAGUUGUUUAGUCCCUGGGUUUCUGAAGCUUUUUCCUCAAGUGAGAAAGCGAGAGCUGGGUGAGGCGGCCCCGGUCCGGUCCGGCUUUAGGGGUGGGGUCCCGGGUGGGCAAGCCCCUGAGCCUCCGCCCCGCCCCCGCCGGCGGCAGAGGGAGAACCGGGACCCGGGGGGAGCGGCUUCUCACGGGGGCCCUACUCCCAGCCCGGGAGGAGCCUGGCCGGGCGCCUCUGGGGGGCGGGGGGUGUCUGCAUCCACCCGAGGAGGGCACCUGCCCCACCGGUCUGGGCGCGACCCCAGGACUGACGGGCCGCGAGCCCGGAGCCACAGCGGACCCCCGCCCCGCCCCGCCCCUUCCCGACUCCCAUGACUCCGCACACUUCCCUCUCC
rnacentral:lncRNA from 1 species